GACGAACGCUGGCGGCGUGCUUAACACAUGCAAGUCGAACGGAAAGGCCCUGCUUUUGUGGGGUGCUCGAGUGGCGAACGGGUGAGUAACACGUGAGUAACCUGCCCUUGACUUUGGGAUAACUUCAGGAAACUGGGGCUAAUACCGGAUAGGAGCUCCUGCUGCAUGGUGGGGGUUGGAAAGUUUCGGCGGUUGGGGAUGGACUCGCGGCUUAUCAGCUUGUUGGUGGGGUAGUGGCUUACCAAGGCUUUGACGGGUAGCCGGCCUGAGGGGGUGACUGGCCACAUUGGGACUGAGAUACGGCCCAGACUCCUACGGGAGGCAGCAGUGGGGAAUAUUGCACAAUGGGCGGAGGCCUGAUGCAGCAACGCCGCGUGCGGGAUGACGGCCUUCGGGUUGUAAACCGCUUUCGCCUGUGACGAAGCGUGAGUGACGGCAAUGGGUAAAGAAGCACCGGCUAACUACGUG
rnacentral:rRNA from 1 species